GGAUUGUGGCUCAGGGAUAGAGCACUUGCCUGACACAUGUGAGGUGCUGGGUUCAAUUCUCAGCACCA
rnacentral:tRNA from 1 species